AAUCUACGCUUGGUUCAGAAUGACACUUCGCUGGAGGUAGGAGGGAGACCAUGCAGACCCAGCAGAGGACCCUGCAGCCUUAGGUAGGGGUUCCCUUUCCCUCUCCCCUCAAGGAAGCCAAGGAAACACAGGGAGCUGCAGUCACACCCAGCCCCACCUCUUCCCUGCUGGGUGACCCACAGCAGGUUACUGGCCCUCUCUGGGCCUCAGUUUUUUCCUAAAGUGAGAAUAAAAAAGUCUGUCCUGAAAGGUGGUUGGCUCAGAGGAUCCAAGGAGAGAGAGCGCUCCAGAUCUUGGUACUAGGUGUUCGAAGAGGAGUUCCUUUCCUCUCCCCAGCAGGUAGAGGACAGAGGUCUGGGGAGAUCCCGCGAGAUGAACAAAGGGCAGAAGGGGAACCUUUAAAGUUGGACUGGCCCUGCUCUCAUUCCUUCACAACACAUCUCCACUCUGAUGGCCAGACCAUCUCGCUAGAGAAAGCAUGUGAUCUUCCCGGGGCCCCCACACAGCCUCUCUGGGGCACCUGCUGCUUGUGGGGGGAACGCGCCAAGCCCUCCUGUGACAUUGGGUGAUCUGGCCAUGGCCAGCCUCCGUGACAGCAUCUCCCACUGCUGCGACCCUUGCCCCUCUGCUCAGCCACACGGACCUUUCUGGAGCCCCUCAGACGCCUCAGCGCCCGGGCUUCCCUACCACUCCCUUGGUCUGGGAACUCCCCCGGAAAGCUGAGGAUUCAGGGUCAACAGCUCUUUGUCAGUGAGGCCCCUGGAGACCCAGACCUCAUCAUACACCAUGAUGCCGACGGUGCCUGCGUGAGAGGGUCCGGUUCUGCCCCCGAUGCCUCCUACCUCAUUCACCGGGUUCUUCAGGCUGAAAAGCUAAGAGCCCUGGAUUCAUGUCAUUCUCUCAAAGUCACAUCUAAUUGAUCAGGAAGUCCUACGAGCUCUUCACCGUACAUCCAUGUCCACGCAUCCCAUCCUCUCCAGCCACUUCCGGCUGCCUCCAUGGCUACCAUCUUGGUCCAAGCCCUGGGCUAUUCCCAGGGUUAUUAUCAUCUCACCUGGGUAAUUCUAAAUGCUCCUAAAGUGGUUUUCUGUUCCUGCACUAUUCUACAAACAGCUAGGAGAGGACUCCUUUAAAAAUGUAAGUCACAGGGCGCCUGGGUGGCUCAGUGGGUUAAGCUGCUGCCUUCGGCUCAGGUCAUGAUCUCAGGGUCCUGAGAUCGAGUCCCGCAUCGGGCUCUCUGCUCAGCAGGGAGCCUGCUUCCCUCUCUCUCUCUCUCUUUCUCUCUCUGCCUGCCUCUCCAUCUACUUGUGAUCUCUCUCUAUCAAAUAAAUAAAUAAAAUCUUUAAAAAAAAAUGUAAGUCACAUUACAUCACUCUCUUGUGCAAACUUUCUGCUGGUUAACCGUCACCACCCCACCUUGGAGUGACAUGGUCCCUGCCCACCUCCACGACCUCAUUCCUGACACUCCAUUCUCUCUGAAGCUCCAGCCACACUAAAUUUCCUGUUGUUUCUACAAUACUCUCAGCUUGUUGCCACCUCAGGGCCUUUGCUCAUGCUGUUCUCUCAGCCAGGCACGCUUUUCCCUCAGCAUCUUGCUUAGCUUACUCCCUCUGUCGGUUCAGAGAAGCCCUCUGUGGAAGGCAGCUUUAACGAUGGCCCUCAAGGUUCCACACCUUCUGCCCUUCCCGUGUGUAAUCCCCUCCUCUCAAGGGUGGGCGAGACUCAGAUACUUGCUUCUAAUCCAUAGAAUACAACAAAAACAAUGGGUGUUGCCUUUAACAUUGGGCUACAAAAGGAUUAUCACGUCUGUCCUGCUGUCCUCUCUCUUUCUCUCUCCCUCCGUGGCUUGCUCUGAGGGAAGCCAGCUUCCAUAUUGUGAGCUGUCUGUGGGGAGGCCUUUGUGGCAAGGAACAAAGGACAGACACCUCCACCAACAGCCAGAGAGGAACAGAGACUCUCGGUCCAGUAGCCCACAAGAAACUGAACCCUGCCAACAACCAUGUGAGUGAGCUUGGAAUUAGAUCCUACCUGGGUCAAACCUUAAGAUGACACCAGAGCCUUGGGCAACAUCCUGACUUGGUCUGUGAGGAGAACCUGAGCCAGAGGACCCUUCCAGGUUGUGGGACCCAACCCAUAGAAAAAGAUGGUAGGAGCACCUGGGUAGCUCAGAUGGUUAAACAUCUGACUCUUUUUUUUUUUUUUUUAAGAUU